CGUUUCCCUCGGAACAAGUCACAAGCAGCCCAUCUGGAGUGCUCUGGCCAGAAAGACAGCAGGACUGGAAAACAAGUAGGAUGUUACAAAAACCACCACCAGAAAUUCAUUCUUACUGUACUUCAUAAAAGUAUUGUCCGUGGCCACGAGACCAGCAGCCCAGGCAGCUGACGCACUGGGUUACAAGCGUCUCAGCAGCUGAGUGUGAACAGGUCUCUCCCGUAACUCAGCAGGCGGUGGCUACUUGAGCUCCAGUACGCCCCCCUCUGGAACAAAAAAAACGAAAGAAACUAUAGCAUUUUCCAUCAUU